CCUACGGGAGGCAGCAGUGAGGAAUAUUGGUCAAUGGGCGGGAGCCUGAACCAGCCAAGCCGCGUGAGGGAAGAAGGUACAGCGUAUCGUAAACCUCUUUUGUCAGGGAACAAAGGCGGGGACUAGUCCCCGGAUGAGGGUACCUGAAGAAAAAGCAUCGGCUAACUCCGUGCCAGCAGCCGCGGUAAUACGGAGGAUGCGAGCGUUAUCCGGAUUUAUUGGGUUUAAAGGGUGCGCAGGCGGAAGAUCAAGUCAGCGGUAAAAUUGAGAGGCUCAACCUCUUCGAGCCGUUGAAACUGGCUGUCUUGAGAUGUCGAGAGGUAUGCGGAAUGCGCAGUGUAGCGGUGAAAUGCUUAGAUAUUGCGCAGAACUCCGAUUGCGAAGGCAGCAUACCGGCGGCGAUCUGACGCUGAGGCACGAAAGCGUGGGUAUCGAACAGGAUUAGAUACCCGAGUAGUC
rnacentral:rRNA from 1 species